rnacentral:sRNA from 1 species
AUAAUCGCCGCUUCCAUUGGGGAGUAGCCGCCCUGCUCUCACCGCGCCGCGCAAUGCGGACUCCGGGGGACAGGGGCGUACGUCAACAGACUUGACCGCUUGCGGUUAUGGCGUGCGCAGCUCGGGACCCGCCUGGCCAGACCGGCCCGGGCAGCGUCCAUGCCUGGCGAGACCGAUGACCAACCCUUUCUGGCCGGGCCGGGAAAGGGUUGUGUCAUUGGCAUCUCGCGAUGCAU